rnacentral:rRNA from 1 species
UACGUAGGGUGCAAGCGUUGUCCGGAAUUAUUGGGCGUAAAGAGCUCGUGGGCGGUCUGUCACGUCGGCUGUGAAAACCCGAGGCUCAACCUCGGGCCUGCAGUCGAUACGGGCAAACUAGAGUACUGCAGGGGAGACUGGAAUUCCUGGUGUAGCGGUGAAAUGCGCAGAUAUCAGGAGGAACACCGGUGGCGAAGGCGGGUCUCUGGGCAGUAACUGACGCUGAGGGGCGAAAGCGUGGGGAGCGAACAGG